rnacentral:rRNA from 1 species
GACGAACGCUGGCGGCGUGCUUAACACAUGCAAGUCGAGCGAUGAAGUUCCUUCGGGAACGGAUUAGCGGCGGACGGGUGAGUAACACGUGGGUAACCUGCCUCAUAGAGGGGAAUAGCCUUUCGAAAGGAAGAUUAAUACCGCAUAAGAUUGUAGGUUCGCAUGAAACAGCAAUUAAAGGAGUAAUCCGCUAUGAGAUGGACCCGCGUCGCAUUAGCUAGUUGGUGAGGUAACGGCUCACCAAGGCGACGAUGCGUAGCCGACCUGAGAGGGUGAUCGGCCACAUUGGGACUGAGACACGGCCCAGACUCCUACGGGAGGCAGCGGUGGGGAAUAUUGCACAAUGGGGGAAACCCUGAUGCAGCAACGCCGCGUGAGUGAUGACGGUCUUCGGAUUGUAAAGCUCUGUCUUCAGGGACGGUAAUGACGGUACCUGAGGAGGAAGCCACGGCUAACUACGUGCCAGCCGCCGCCGUAA